rnacentral:rRNA from 1 species
CAGUCGCCGCGGUAAUACGUAGGUGGCGAGCGUUGUCCGGAAUCAUUGGGCGUGAAGGGAGCGCAGGCGGGCAUGUAAGUCUUUCUUAAAAGUUCGGGGCUCAACCCCGUGAUGGGAAAGAAACUACAUGUCUUGAGUACAGGAGAGGAAAGCGGAAUUCCCAGUGUAGCGGUGAAAUGCGUAGAUAUUGGGAGGAACACCAGUGGCGAAGGCGGCUUUCUGGUCUGUCACUGACGCUGAGGCUCGAAAGCGUGGGUAGCGAACAGGAUUAGAUACCCGCGUAGUCCCUGUCUCUUAUACA